CCUGCUACACCACAGCGCCGGCCUCCCAAGCUCAUUUCAUCCUAGCAGCUGUUUGCUGAGUACCACGGGCAAGCCCCGGGCCUGCCUGCCAAGUGUGCAGACAAAAUGAGGCCUUCCCAGCCUUCCAGCAAAGCGGGCGUGCAGCCCUGCUGCCAGGUGACGCGGGGCGGCAUCUGUCAGUCCUGCGAGGGUGACAGUAACACAGAGAAGAGUAAGACACAAGCACAGGGUCUGCUGUCCUCAACUGAUUCUGAAAGGAAAGCCCAGCCAAGCUAAGGUCAUCCAGAGUCUCCUGCGCACGCCGGGCUGUGCUGAGCACGCCUUGGUGCUCCCUGAUCCACAGCCUCCUCACGUCUCCCCGGCAGAGUGGACAGAGCCGCGAGGCCCCAUCAACUCCUCCAGACACCUGCUCACGUGAGCACCAGGGAGAGGUGAGCUGGUGGUGCUGAGGUUUGGAGAAGCAGGGACAGUGAGGGCUGGGAGAUGAGGAAGACGCGGGCGGGGUGGGCCAUUUGUGGAGACGAGCGUGAGGCGCUGGGUGAGGCAGAGCUGCUGAGCUGUGCACGGCCUCCGCUUUCCCCCCCAGCGUCUGCCAGCGUUGCCUGGAGCCCAGGUGAAGUGAGUCCGUCAGCCAGCACUUGCACCUGAAGCGCGAGCCCAACGGCCAUCCAGAAACCUGGUGCAGCCGGGAGGAGGAAGAUGGGGUUUGGGGCCGCAGACGGAGACUGGCUCCACCACGCACCUGCUUCGUGGCAGCUUAGCAGGUGGAGUGCUUCAGCGUCACCAGAUGGCGAAAGUGAGCAAGGAGCCUGGGACCCUGACCUGAUAAUGAGAUUUCCAUUCGUGUGUGGUUGAUGGAAGACCCGCGCAAACGUCCUCUAAAUAACCUGUGCGUCUCGGCCAGUGAGGACUGGGUCUGGGGAUGGCUGUAGGGGACGCUGCCUGCCCGGGGUGACAGCAGUCCCCGGAGAGUGGAGGAGGCGCCCGGGUCAUUAAUCAGGGCUACGUCCUCUGCGAGAAUCAUCUGUGGCUCAGGGACACCUUGCACAGGGGCUGCUCUUUGUUUAAAGAAGCGGGCUGAGCUCCCGCAGAGCCGUGUGCAGGGUGCAGAUGUGCUGUGGAAAUCGUCUUUAACGACCCGUCUAUGGGGCGCAGUCUGAAUUCGCACCUUGGUGUCACCGUAAAUCUGUCCACACUGCUGCAGAGAAACGGAGCAUGGCCUUCCAGGGCAAAGCCUGGGCCCAUUUGUGCAUGGCUUUGACAGGCUGUCAAGGGAAAUUCUUUACCCUGGGCAAAAGGGAGUGGCUGUGGUGUGGUUUAUAGCCACACCAAGUAAUUUUAGUAGAACGAGUGACUCGCUGUUUCACGGUGUCUGAGUGUUACAGGGGACCUCUGGUGUCUCUUGGGCCUCAGAUAAAGAGGAAUCCACGUGAAUUAAUUCGAGACUAUUUCGCUCUAGGAUCAAAUUUUAAGUUUUUCUAACAACAGCAACAACAAAAGACCCAGGACCCCAGGAUGAACGCAGGAAGUUCCUCUGACACAUCAUUUAAUCACUCUAAAAGCAUUCUGUUAGCUUCAAAAAUGCCAGCCCUGAAACGAGGCCCUGAGCCAGUGCUUGCAGUCUGUGCAGCCGGCGGCCACAGGCCCGUCAUUAUCAACAUCAGAGCCGCCCUUCUGAGCAGCUCAUUACCUCAAAGCACUCUGCCGUCAUUAACCGUCCACGUCUGUGGACACCCCAGAGGCAGGCAGUAUCAUUAGCUGCGUUCGGGGGCCCCGGAGACGCCGGAGCCGCUUGCCCGUCCUUGCUGCAUAGCUCCUUCUCCAGGCGCGGCCAUUUGCUCUGAACCUCACAGUGAUCCCACCCGGGGACGCGCGCCAGGCUGGUUAUUCUGAGGAUUCGUCCUGGGGGGCCUGGGGAGGAGGAUGUGUGGGUCCCGUUGCAUAGAUGCAGACACAAGAGGCACGGAGAAGGGCCAGCUCGUGUCACUUGCACGCUGGUCCCCAGGCUGUGGGGCUGUUGGUGCUGCUGUCCACGGUGAGGCCAGGAGGUCUGGUCAGUGGGCAGAGGCUCCCUGCCUUCCAGCCCGCGCAAGCCUGCUCUACCUCACUAAGGAGCCUGCAAAGUGGACUGCAGCCUCCUGUUACACAGUGCGGCAGAAUUCGCUCACCGGCUCCAGGCCUGACGGCAUCCACACUGUGAGACGCCCUUUGCUCCACCUGGUCAAGUGUGACAGGAGCCUCUCCUCUGGUUGGGCUGUCCUGGGGUGGCCAGGUCUUGGUGUGGACCCAGCGUCUGUAUCUCCAGGUCUUGUUUCUGAUCUUUGCUUUGUGACGAUUCCAGUUUCUCUGGUCUGCAUGAAAGUGACACAAUAAAUAGAACAAAUAAUCUGCAAACAGGUGCUUAUGGAGCCGCCACUCCACGCAAGACGUUCUACUAGGGAGGUGGCCCCGGGCCUCAUGGGCUCAUUUGAGAAGGGAGCCCAGACCCUCAGAGACAGCCACUGGGGCCCAGCAGUCACCACGGAGGGGCCCCGAGGGGCAGCAGGGCAAUGCAGAAGCAUACGAGAGAGCAGGUAGUCAUGCCUGGGUCUGGGCAGGAGAGAGAGCCGGGCUCCGCACUCCACCAGGGAGCCGUCACCCUCUGUCCCUGUGUCCUGCUCACACACACCACGGCCGGAGUCGCUGGGUGAGGCUGGGGC